GACGAACGCUGGCGGCGUGCCUAAUACAUGCAAGUAGAACGCUGAAGGAGGAGCUUGCUUCUCUGGAUGAGUUGCGAACGGGUGAGUAACGCGUAGGUAACCUGCCUGGUAGCGGGGGAUAACUAUUGGAAACGAUAGCUAAUACCGCAUAAUAGUAGAUGUUGCAUGACAUUUACUUAAAAGGUGCAAUUGCAUCACUACCAGAUGGACCUGCGAUGUAUUAGCUAGUUGGUGGGGUAACGGCUCACCAGGGCGACGAUACAUAGCCGACCUGAGAGGGUGCUCGGCCACGCUGGGACUGGGACACGGCCCAGAACCCUACGGGAGGCAGCAGUAGGGAAUCCUCGGCAAUGGACGAAAGUCUGAACGAGCAACGCCGCGUGAGUGAAGAAGGUUUUCGGAUCGUAAAGCUCUGUUGUAAGAGAAGAACGAGUGUGAGAGUUGAAAGUUCACACUGUGACGGUAUCUUACCAGAAAGGGACGGCUAACUACGUG
rnacentral:rRNA from 1 species